AAACCAUUUUUUAUUAUUAAUAAUAAUAAAUAAGUUUUGCUCAAUGAUUAUUUAAAUAGCUGCAGUAAUUUAACUGUACUAAGGUAGCAUAAUCAAUUGUUUUUUAAAUGGAAACUAGAAUGAAUGAAUUGAUGAAAUAUAUACUUUAUUUGAAUUAUUUAUUGAAUUUAAUAUUAUAGUUAAAAAGCUUUAAUUAUUUUAUAAGACGAGAAGACCCUAUAGAAUUUUAUAUAAUAAUUUUAUAAAAUUUUAAUAUAAAUAAUAAAAUUAUAUAUUUAUUUGGGAGGAAUAUUAAAAUUAAUAACUUUAAUUAAUUGAUUACAUAAAUUUWUGAUAUAAAUAGAUUUUAUUAAAAUAUAAGAUUAAAUUACCUUAGGGAUAACAGCGUAAUAUUUUUUUAUAGUUCAAAUUGAAAA
rnacentral:rRNA from 1 species